rnacentral:rRNA from 1 species
GAGAAUCUUCCGCAAUGCACGAAAGUGUGACGGAGCGACGCCGCGUGAUGGAUUGAAGUACUUAGGUAUGUAAACAUCUUUUAUGAGUGAAGAAAUUUUUGACAUUAGCUCAUGAAUAAGGGGUUCCUAACCACGUGCCAGCAGGAGCGGUAAUACGUGGACCCCAAGCAUUAUCCGGAAUCACUGGGCGUAAAGGGUGCGUAGGCGGUAUUGUUAGUCUUUUGUGAAAGACCCGGGCUCAACCUGGGGAACGCAAAAGAAACGGCAAAACUAGAGUAUGUGAGGGGUGUGUAGAACUCUCGGUGUAGGGGUGAAAUCCGUUGAUAUCGAGGGGAAUACCAAAAGCGAAG